GAUGAAGAACGCAGCGAAAUGCGAUACGUAAUGUGAAUUGCAGAAUUCAGUGAAUCAUCGAAUCUUUGAACGCAUAUUGCGCUCUCUGGUAUUCCGGAGAGCAUGCUUGUUUGAGUAUCAGUAAACACCUCAACUUCCAUAUCUUUUUUGAAAUGGGAGUUGGACUUGAGUGAUCCCAACGCUUUUCCUCACCGAAAAGUGGCGGGUUACUUGAAAUGCAGGUGCAGCUGGACUGUUCUCUGAGCUAUAAGCAUAUCUAUUUAGUCUGCCUAAAAAACAGAUUAUUACCUUUGCUGCAGCUAACAUAAAGGAGAUUAGUUCUUGUGCUGACUGAUGCAGGAUUCACAAAGACAGCUUCGGCCGACUUUGUAAACUCGAUCUCAAAUCAAGUAAGACUACCCGCUGAACUUAAGCAUAUCAAUAAGCGGAGGA
rnacentral:misc_RNA from 1 species